UCGAGCGAACAGACGAGGACUUGCUCCUCUGACGUUAGCGGCGGACGGGUGAGUAACACGUGGAUAACCUACCUAUAAGACUGGGAUAACUUCGGGAAACCGGAGCUAAUACCGGAUAAUAUAUUGAACCGCAUGGUUCAAUAGUGAAAGACGGUUUUGCUGUCACUUAUAGAUGGAUCCGCGCCGCAUUAGCUAGUUGGUAAGGUAACGGCUUACCAAGGCAACGAUGCGUAGCCGACCUGAGAGG
rnacentral:rRNA from 1 species